CUAAACAAUACAAAAAUCAGGGAAUAAAAAAGCUGAGUCUCAAAAUUAUAUCAAUGAAAGGAUAAAAACUUCACCAAAGCAAAUUUACUUGGCUCCUUAUGUCGAUCAAAAUCAUUGGCAGCUCUUGGUUCUUUGUCCUACAAACAAUGUUGCAAUCUGGUUUUGUUCUUUGCAUCGUAAGCCCAAUGUACAAUUCAAAAAUUUAAUAAAAAGUGUUAUGGUUGUGUAUAAUGUUAUGAGUGAUAGAUCUACAGCACAACCAAAGAACCUAGAUUGGAUUUACCCCAUGAGUAAUAUGCAACAAGGACAUUAUGAAUGUGGAUACUACGUGAUGAAUUGGAUGUUAGACAUAAUUGAAGGGGAA